GAGUUUGAUCGUGGCUCAGAUUGAACGCUGGCGGUAUGCUUAACACAUGCAAGUCGAACGGUAACAGGAGAGAGCUUGCUCUUUUGCUGACGAGUGGCGGACGGGUGAGUAAUGCGUAGGAAUCUGCCUAGUAGUGGGGACAACGUGUGGAAACGCACGCUAAUACCGCAUACGCCCUACGGGGGAAAGCGGGGAUCUUCGGACCUCGCGCUAUUAGAUGAGCCUACGUUAGAUUAGCUAGUUGGUGGGGUAAAGGCCUACCAAGGCGACGAUCUAUAGCUGGUCUGAGAGGAUGAUCAGCCACACUGGGACUGAGACACGGCCCAGACUCCUACGGGAGGCAGCAGUGGGGAAUAUUGGACAAUGGGCGAAAGCCUGAUCCAGCAAUACCGCGUGUGCGAAGAAGGCCUGAGGUUGUAAAGCACUUUC
rnacentral:rRNA from 1 species